AGGCUAAUUCUGACCUAAAGCUGAAAAUGGAUUUAGUUAACUAAGGUUUGGGGCAUAUUGGAGUUGGAUAAAUUAAAUAAGGUAAAAAUGGGUGAAACAGAUGGGUGGCGUGAUUAAGUAUGGGGGCUGGAUUUUGGUAGUGUAUUAAAGUGGGAUGGUUAGCUACUGGAAAUGAAAAUGAAGUUUGAAAAAGAAAUUGUAAAUGGUUUAAGUGGUAACAAGCUAGAAAUUAAUGAACUGAAAGAAAAAGGAAACUAAGAACAACAAAUAAUUUC
rnacentral:lncRNA from 1 species